rnacentral:rRNA from 1 species
UACGGAGGAUCCGAGCGUUAUCCGGAUUUAUUGGGUUUAAAGGGUGCGCAGGCGGGAGAUUAAGUCGGCGGUGAAAUUUUGCAGCUCAACUGUAAAAGUGCCUUCGAAACUGGUUUCCUUGAGUGUAGAUGAAGUAGGCGGAAUUUGUGGUGUAGCGGUGAGAUGCAUAGAUAUCACGAGGAACUCCGAUUGCGCAGGCAGCUUACUAAACUACUACUGACGCUCAGGCACGAAGGCGUGGGGAUCAAACAGGAUUAGAUACCCU